GGGGGACAACCGGGGGAACUGAAACAUCUAAGUACCCCGAGGAAGAGAAAUCAACCGAGAUUGCGCGAGUAGCGGCGAGCGAAAGCGCAAGAGCCCAAACCCGGGCGAGUGUAAGCGGCAGGCGUUGCCGCCCGGGGGUUGCGGGACACUCGUCGCGGAGCUGCCCUCCGCGGAGUGGUUACAAAUCCGAUCGGUAGCGGAACGGCAUGGAAGGGCCGGCCGCAGAGGGUGAGAGCCCCGUACGCGAAACCGAUCGGACCACUGCAGUGUAUCCCGAGUAGGGCCGGACACGUGAAACCCGGUCCGAAGCCGGGGGGACCACCCUCCAAGGCUAAACACUCUCCUGUGACCGAUAGCGAACCAGUACCGUGAGGGAAAGGUGAAAAGCACCCCGAGAGGGGAGUGAAACAGUACCUGAAACCGUGCGCCCGCAAGCAGUCGGAGCAGCCUUUGCGCUGUGACGGCGUGCCUUUUGUAGAAUGAGCCAGCGAGUUGCGGUGUGCGGCGAGGUUAAGUUUUUAAACGAGCCGCAGCGAAAGCGAGCCUUUAAGAUGGCGUUACAGUCGCGCGCUGCAGACGCGAAGCCGGGUGAGCUAUCCUGGGGCAGGCUGAAGCGGGGGUAAGACCCCGUGGAGGGCCGAACCCACUUCGGUUGAAAACGGAGGGGAUGACCUCAGGAUAGGGGUGAAAGGCCAAUCAAACCCGGAGAUAUCUCGUUCUCCCCGAAAUAGCUUUAGGGCUAGCCUCGGCCGUUCACCCGCGGUGGUAGAGCCACCGGAUCCCCGAGGGGGCUUCACCGCCUACCGACGGGAACCGAACUCCGAAUGCCGCGGGUUCAGAGGCCGGGAGUCAGAGCAUGUGGGCUAAGCUGUGUGCUCGAGAGGGAAACAGCCCAGACCGCCCGCUAAGGUCCCCAAGUCGAUGCUGAGUGGCAAAGGAUGUGCGUCUGCCCAGACAACCAGGAUGUUGGCUUAGAAGCAGCCAUGCAUUUAAAGAGUGCGUAACAGCUCACUGGUCGAGUGGACAUGCGCCGACAAUACACGGGGCUAAGCAUCGCACCGAAGCGGCGGGCUGAUUUUUUCAGCGGUAGGGGAGCGUUCCGCGCUGCGGAGAAGC
rnacentral:rRNA from 1 species